UACGGAGGAUCCAAGCGUUAUCCGGAAUCAUUGGGUUUAAAGGGUCCGUAGGCGGUUUUGUAAGUCAGUGGUGAAAGCCCAUCGCUCAACGGUGGAACGGCCAUUGAUACUGCAAGACUUGAAUUACUAGGAAGUAACUAGAAUAUGUAGUGUAGCGGUGAAAUGCUUAGAUAUUACAUGGAAUACCAAUUGCGAAGGCAGGUUACUGCUAGGUGAUUGACGCUGAUGGACGAAAGCGUGGGGAGCGAACAGG
rnacentral:rRNA from 1 species